CGACGCUAAAGGAAAGUGAGAAAAAAAUAGGACAACAAAUUUAGUGUUUUUAUACUAGAUGCAAGAACUACAGUACCAAGAAGUAGCAGACACUAGAGAAAGAAUAAUUCAAAGAAGAGCCAGGAGAACAGCCUGGCUUACAUUGCCUCUACCUCUUCAAGAUUCUAAGAUGAAAAGCUGAAGCUCAGAAAAAUCAGUAUAGUAGCUGAAGAGUUGCUGAUGAGGAAUUAUGCUUGCACAUGGGUACCAUGACGAAGCCAAUCGCUUCAGGAAUGGCCAGGAUGAAGGACAGGAUCCAGAUGGAGACAAUUUCAAUGGCAGUUACCAAAGGAAUCCCAAUUCCCUGAACACGACUCCAGGAGGCAACUGCUCUGUACCUGAAAAAAAGGUUCCAGGUCUCGCCUCUGAAAGGAGCCUUGAGCCUGCUGGAGCAAAAACAGAGAGGACCCUGAGACUACGUGGAGGGGGAGAUGGGCUCUGCUGAGCUCAGACAUCCAGCCGUCCCUGCCAAGGUGCCAGGCAUGUGAGUGUUGGACCUCUGACACAAGCUCAGAGUCAGCUGAAGUCCACCAACCCCAGGUGAAGUGACAAGGAGCAGAAGAAUUGCCCAAAUUCCUGACCUUCAACAUGGUUAAUAUUUCAAUCAAAACUACAGUUACAACUAUGCUUAAAGAAUGCACAGAAAGAGUUAACACGAUGCCUGAACCACGAGACAAGAACUCUUGACCCCUAGAGACAAAAGGAAGGGGAAAAUCAUCUUGCUGUUAUGUGCUGCUCUGCUUCCCACGAGUUUCUCACAGAUUUAUGGACCCUGAGAUAUUCUGAUUUUCAGAAAAAAAGGUAGAAAUUCAAUAAACUCAAUAAGCAGG